CUGCGAGUGAAGUGUUGUCCUCUCUUUGAGGCGUCUUCUUAGGCACAAGGAGAAGACUCAGCGUUUGCCCUUGUAUGGGAAAUGGCCUACACUUGAGGAAGUGUGGACUCUGAUGAGUCACCGGGUUUCUGUUGCGCGGAGGCUGGAUGACUCACCCGAGAUAUCAGAUGCAUUCCACCAGCCCCCACAAACCAGCGACAGUCAAGCUGGACAAGUGUCACCUGCCUCGUCAGUGAGCUGUCGACGGGUGUCACCUGCCUCGUCAGUGAGCUGUGUUGGGUUGUCUAGUUCCUAAGACUUCUAGACCAGACCUGCUCGACAGGCGUUCUCCUGACACCCUUCCGCACUUGCACCUGGCCUCUUACAUCACAGAGCACCCUUUCCUGAGGCCUUCCUCUGAAUCAAAGAAGCAAGAUGACAAAAGGAACAUCAUCCUUUGGAAAUCGUCGCAAUAAGACGCACAUUCUGUGCCUCCGCUGCUGUGGCUCUAAGGCCUACCACCUUCAGAAGUUGACUUGUGGCAACCGUGGUUGCCCUGCCAAGUGCAACAGACAGGAUAACUGGAGCGCCAAGCUAAGAGAGGAAACGCUACCGGGCUGGGCUGGUGAGGUAUCCAAAGAUUGUCUACCACAGAUUCAGACACGGGUUCCGUGAAGGAACAACACCUAAACCUAAGAGGGCAGCUGUUGCAGCAACCAGUUCUUCUUGAGGAUUCGAUCAGUCAUAAAAUAAAUGUUCUGGUUUAAAAAUAAUAGUUUACUCGAUUUGCUGGCUUGCUUGCUUGCUUUCUUCCUUCCUUCCUUCCUUCCUUCUUUUCUUUCCUUCUUUCUUUCUUUCUUUUCUUUCUUUCUUUCAAGGUAUGGUCUCACUAUGUAGCCUUGGCAGGCUCAAAACUUGCUGGGUAGACCAGGCUAACCUCAGACUCUCAGACACAUUUCCCUCUGUCUCCUGAGCUCUGGGAUUAAAGGCCUGUUCCACCACACUUAGUUUUGGUUUCUUUAUUUUUUUAUCACUGAUUGAUUGUAUUUUUUGAGAUAUGUAGCCCAGGCCGGUUGCUAAACCCACUACAUAGCUGAGGGUGGCCUUGAAUAAUUCUGAUCCUUCUCCCUCCACUCCCAAGGCUGGGAUGCAAUUGUGAGCUGCCAUGUGUGGUUUGUGUGUGUGUGUGUGUGUGUGUGUGUGUGUGUGUGUGUGUGUGUGUGUUAUUUUCCUUAUGGCUAUGUGAAAACUUCCCAUCCCAACCUGUACUAGGGGAUUUUAUCUACUUGCCAUCUUUUUUUGUCCAAGAACUUGUCAUAUUCAGUAUGAUAACCAAGUGGAUUGGAGACCUGACUUAAUCCUGGUCUCCAGGAAAAACAAACAACAACAUUAAAUCUGCCUGAUGUUAAAGCACUUAGAGGCAGAGGCAGGCAGAUCUCUGUGAGUUCAAGGCCAGCCUCUGCUACAUAAUCAAGUCCCAGGCCAGCCAGGAUUACAUAGUAAGACCCUGUCUUAAAAGACAGAAAUGAAAAAGGUACGUGGUAGAGAUACAUGUUGAUGUCCCAUUCUAGACCCCAUCCAUCAGUUAUACAGGUACUGGUUCUAACAGGAACCUCUUCGAACUCCCCAGGGAGUGUAGAAGUAUAGGGCUAUUUUAUUUUUAUGAAAUGAAACAGAGACCCCCUGUCUGCAGGGCCCUCUUGCUUCUGGGCGAGGCCCUAAGUGGCAGGGUUGUGUUUGCGCAGGCUGGGGGUGGCCAGCCUGCACUCUUCUUCCCUGAGUCCCAGGUGGGCCCGGUCCUUUGCUCUGUUAUUACCGCUGGCAGACUGUGCCGCUGGCAGAAGGGACUCAAGUCUUUCCAGUUCUCCUGGUCUCUUCCAGCGACUCAUCCCUCAUCCGACUCACCUGCUGAUGCUCGUGGGGAGUGGGAGGCGCCUGAGCCUGUUACCUAGAGUCCCCGGGAGCAGAGGAGGCAGGAAGAGGGCUGGGCGAGAGCCGGCUGGACUGGCAGAGCUGAGGAAGUGAGUCUCUAACACGGCUGUGGAGAAGUAGGGCUGUAGGGAGGAGGUCAGGGUAUGUUGGGGGUGGAUGCUGGGAGUUCACUAGGGCUCUGAUACGACUUUGGAACAUUCUGACCUACUCUGCCCCUCCCAAGCAGUUUCCCUCUGCUAUUCUGUCGUCCAGAGGUGGACCAAGUAGCAGAGCUUCGGUCGCUGCCUUAGACAGCUGCACCAGGUUCCCCUGGUCUCCUUCCAGGUCUUUGGCUUUCCCCUGCAGGAGGUUCCUUGUCUGCACUGCCCUUUGUCACAUCUGCACACCUCCAAGGAAGCCUGUGCUCUAGAGAGAGCACACACACUCUGCGUGCUAACCUGGGCUGUUUUCUUGAUCUUGGUAGACCCGUCUCUCUGUGUCUGUAAAGUGACACUAACCUCCUCAGGGUAGGGGAGCUCAGUAAGAUGCCAGGUGUGACAGGGGCGCCAAUGGAGGGAUGGUCAGGAGGAUUACUGGACCUGCCUGUGCUUCCUCAUUCUCCUCAGUGUCCACAUGGAGUGACACGGACGCUGGAGGCCAGUGACCAUAGGGGACUGAAUGUCAUGCCCUGGGCCCAUAAUAAAAUACAUAAAAGUCAGCACACCUGCUGGCUUUCUGCUCACCACAGGUGAACCCAUUCCUUCUGUUGUGCAUGGUUUGAGAUGUUUUUCCCAAGAGAUGUGAACUUCGGGGGUGGGGUGGUCUGAUUCACCUUUGGACCCCCAAAGCUUCUGCACUACACUUGUUACAGUGCUCGGUGGCCCCAGAACCGUCAGAAGAAAACAGAAAGGACCUCUUUGUUUCAGAAACAAGAGUCAAACUUUGGAGUACAGCAGGCCCAGCUCAGAUUUGUGCACACGUGAGUGUGACCGAGAGCAAGAUGGCGCAUCUCCCUGAGCCUCAGUUCUUUGUCUAAAAAUAGCCAUAAUAAUAACCACCUCUGCGGGUUGUUUGAGGGAUUAGAGAUGAUGUCAGACACAAACCCCAGCACCCCGAGGCCCCGUGCAUAGUAGGAGCUCAAUAAAUGGAGGUAGUGAUUACCUGUGGUCACAGGACUGUUUGUGCUAUGUGUGAACUCUUGAGUUCAUAGCAAGUGACACACAGCUUCCCUUGGUGACGCGGGAACUCCUUCACAUGAAUGUUGGGGUCUCACAAUGGUUUCUACGGUUGUGUUGACAGCAUCUUUUUUUUUUUUUUUUUUUUUGGUUCUUUUUUUUGGAGCUGGGGACCGAACCCAGGGCCUUGCGCUUCCUAGGCAAGCGCUCUACCACUGAGCCAAAUCCCCAACCCCGACAGCAUCUUUUAGUAGCCUGGGUACUCAAUGGCCCUCACCUGCCAUCCACUGUGGGCAGCUACUGCCUGGGUUUCUUGUCUGAUGACAAGAGGGGUUGGGGGAGAGAUUGGAAGGGUCCGUGUCCACUAUCAGCUCUCCCUCAAGUCUGCUGUUGAAGGGAAAUUGGUGUUUGGGUUGGCGCAGACAGCAUAGUGACCUGGCUGCUACGGCUCCCAACGAACACUCGUCACCUUUAAGAUUCCUGUUGAUGUUCCAAGACAAAGUCUCAUUGCAUUUUAAAAAUUUGAUUUGGACAGGAAUAAAUGCAGCCAUUUUAGAGAAGGCCCUCUGUCUAGGGGUCAUGGUUUCAGGUACCAAGUCCACAUCAGUCCAAAAAUACUGUAUUAUGGGUAUUGAGAUGGAGGAGGAGGGGGAAGGACAGCAAGCACACAAUCAUCCAGCUUUAUAGACGAGGAGAAAACUGGCUAACAAAUGCUAGGGACCCAAAGAAAGCUAGGAAGACCUGAUGUGUUGUGGCUUUAGAAUUACAUUUAUUUAUCUUUAUUUAUUUAUUUAUUUAUUUAUUUAUUUAUUUAUUUAUGGUGCACACACAUGCACACAUGCAUGCAUCACAGUGCACACAUGGAGGUCAGAGGACACCUUGCAAGGGCCAGACCUCUCCUUCCAUUGUAUUUGUCCCAGGGAUUGAACUCAGUGCCUCACCAUGUUGAAUCAUUCCACUGACUCGAGGGAGAUCUCGUGUGUUUCGUACUUGCUGUCCCCAGCCUGGGUCUCCAUACUUGACUCAAUUAAUCCUCUGGCUCUGAUUCUGUUAUGGCCCCCUUCUGUCCCCAAGGGGAGCUGCAGGAGGGGGUAGGGUACACAAGGCAGUAUAAAACACAUCAAUGGGUCAGAAGAGCCAGUAUGGCCCUUCCUGUCUGAAAGCCUGGGCAGGAGCACAGGUAUCCAAACAGAAUCCAGUAAUGUGGGGAGGGCUGGCAGGGUGAGAAGGAUGUCUGCUGUCACCGGGGGGAGUAGACCCAGAGGAUGGGUCAUGGAACCCCUGCCUGCAGAGAGCCAGGCUUUCACUGCCCAAACACGAGCCAGGCACAGCCUCCCAGCUGACCCACACAUUCUGCUGUUUGCUCUUCAUUCCGUCCAUUCUUCAGUAGGUCCUUCCAGCUCUGCCUUUUUAGGGAUGGCCUUUAGGCCUAGAAGUAAUGGCCACAGUACUUUUACCCAGUCUCAGGGAACUGUGCGUAAAGGAGCCUUGGAGAUUCUUUUUGCCCUGCCUGAACUCAGGAUUGAAACCUUGUAGUGACGCCCGGCAGUGGUUCCCAUGCUUCCUCAGUCAGCAGUCCUGUGGGCACCAUUCCUCCCUCCCUUGGUUAGGCCAUGUCAGGACUGGGAAGUCCUUAAGUUUUUCAGCACCCAUCUAACCCUGGCCUCUCACUGCCCAGCUGAGGAAAGGACAAAUUCAAUGGAAGGAGACAACUGGUCCUUGCAAGGUGUCCUCUGACCUCCAUGUGUGCACUGUGAUGCAUGUAUGUAUGCAUGUGAUGUGGCAGGAAGGGCCACAUUGGGCUGGCAAGAUGACUCAGGAUAAAGGCAUUUGUCACCAAGUCUGAAUAUCCCUUUGAUGUCCUGGACCUAUAGCAUGGUAGAAAGGAAUGACUGGCCCCUAAAAGUUAUCCUCAGCCCUCAGUGUGCUUCCUGUGAACAUACAUGCAUGCAUGCAUGCAUGCGUGUACACACACACACACACACACACACACACACAUUAAA